UACAGAGGUCUCGAGCGUUAGGCGGAAUCACUGGGCUUAAAGCGUGUGUAGGCGGAUUGCUAAGUACCUUGUGAAAUCCCACGGCUUAACCGUGGAACUGCUUGGUAUACUGGCUGUCUUGAGCCACUUAGGGGCGACCGGAACAAACGGUGGAGCGGUGAAAUGCGUAGAUAUCAGGAGGAAUACCGGCGGCGAAGGCGGCCCUCUGGAUCGUUGCUGACGCUGAGACGCGAAAGCGUGGGGAGCAAACAGG
rnacentral:rRNA from 1 species